UACGUAGGUGACAAGCGUUGUCCGGAUUUACUGGGCGUAAAGAGCGCGCAGGCGGUCGAUCAAGUCGAGUGUGAAAGCCCCCGGCUCAACUGGGGAGGGUCACGCGAUACUGAUCGACUCGAAGGCAGGAGAGGGUAGUGGAAUUCCCGGUGUAGUGGUGAAAUGCGUAGAUAAUCGGGAGGAACACCAGUGGCGAAGGCGAACUACCUGGCCUGUUCUUGACGCUGAGGCGCGGAAAGCUAAGGGGAGCAAAGCGGGG
rnacentral:rRNA from 1 species